rnacentral:rRNA from 1 species
GACGAACGCUGGCGGCGUGCCUAAUACAUGCAAGUCGAACGCAUUUUCUUUCACCGUAGCUUGCUACACCGAAAGAAAAUGAGUGGCGAACGGGUGAGUAACACGUGGGUAACCUGCCCAUCAGCGGGGGAUAACACUUGGAAACAGGUGCUAAUACCGCAUAAUUCCAUUUACCGCAUGGUAGAUGGGUGAAAGGCGCUUUUGCGUCACUGAUGGAUGGACCCGCGGUGCAUUAGCUAGUUGGUGGGGUAACGGCCUACCAAGGCUGCGAUGCAUAGCCGACCUGAGAGGGUGAUCGGCCACACUGGGACUGAGACACGGCCCAGACUCCUACGGGAGGCAGCAGUAGGGAAUCUUCGGCAAUGGACGCAAGUCUGACCGAGCAACGCCGCGUGAGUGAAGAAGGGUGUCGGAUCGUAAAACUCUGUUGUUAGAGAAGAACAAGGAUGAGAGUGGAAAGUUCAUCCCUUGACGGUAGCUAACCAGAAAGCCACGGCUAACUACGUG